rnacentral:rRNA from 1 species
GGAUAAGAGGAAACCUAGUGAAUCUUAUCCCAGUGGCGGACGGGUGAGUAACGCGUGGGCAACCUGCCGCAUACCGGGGGAUAACACUUAGAAAUAGGUGCUAAUACCGCAUAAGCGCACAGAGCCGCAUGGCUCAGUGUGAAAAACUCCGGUGGUAUGCGAUGGGCCCGCGUCUGAUUAGCUUGUUGGCGGGGCAGCGGCCCACCAAGGCGACGAUCAGUAGCCGGCCUGAGAGGGUGGACGGCCACAUUGGGACUGAGACACGGCCCAGACUCCUACGGGAGGCAGCAGUGGGGAAUAUUGUACAAUGGGGGGAACCCUGAUGCAGCGACGCCGCGUGAGUGAAGAAGUAUUUCGGUAUGUAAAGCUCUAUCAGCAGGGAAGAAAAUGACGGUACCUGACUAAGAAGCCCCGGCUAACUACGUGCCAGCAGCCGCGGUAAUACGUAGGGGGCAAGCGUUAUCCGGAUUUACUGGGUGUAAAGGGAGCGCAGACGGCUGUGCAAGUCUGGAGUGAAAGGCG